rnacentral:rRNA from 1 species
UACGUAGGGUGCAAGCGUUGUCCGGACUUAUUGGGCGGAAAGAGCUCGUAGGCGGUUUGUUGCGUCGGCUGUGAAAUCCCGAGGCUCAACCUCGGGUCUGCAGUCGAUACGAGCAAACUAGAGUGUUGCAGGGGAGACUGGAAUUCCUGGUGUAGCGGUGGAAUGCGCAGAUAUCAGGAGGAACACCGGUGGCGAAGGCGGGUCUCUGGGCAGUAACUGACACUGAGGAGCGAAAGCGUGGGGAGCGAACAGG